rnacentral:rRNA from 1 species
CCUACGGGUGGCAGCAGUCGAGAAUCAUUCACAAUGGGGGAAACCCUGAUGGUGCGACGCCGCGUGGGGGAAUGAAGGUCUUCGGAUUGUAAACCCCUGUCAUGUGGGAGCAAAUUAAAAAGAUAGUACCACAAGAGGAAGCGACGGCUAACUCUGUGCCAGCAGCCGCGGUAAUACAGAGGUCUCAAGCGUUGUUCGGAAUCACUGGGCGUAAAGCGUGCGUAGGCUGUUUCGUAAGUCGUGUGUGAAAGGCGCGGGCUCAACCCGCGGACGGCACAUGAUACUGCGAGACUAGAGUGAUGGAGGGGGAACCGGAAUUCUCGGUGUAGCAGUGAAAUGCGUAGAUAUCGAGAGGAACACUAGUGGCGAAGGCGGGUUCCUGGACAUUAACUGACGCUGAGGCACGAAGGCCAGGGGAGCGAAAGGGAUUAGAUACCCCUGUAGUC